AUUGAACGCUGGCGGCAGGCCUAACACAUGCAAGUCGAACGGUAACAGGAAGAAGCUUGCUUCUUUGCUGACGAGUGGCGGACGGGUGAGUAAUGUCUGGGAAGCUGCCUGAUGGAGGGGGAUAACUACUGGAAACGGUAGCUAAUACCGCAUAACGUCGCAAGACCAAAGAGGGGGACCUUCGGGCCUCUUGCCAUCGGAUGUGCCCAGAUGGGAUUAGCUAGUAGGUGGGGUAACGGCUCACCUAGGCGACGAUCCCUAGCUGGUCUGAGAGGAUGACCAGCCACACUGGAACUGAGACACGGUCCAGACUCCUACGGGAGGCAGCAGUGGGGAAUAUUGCACAAUGGGCGCAAGCCUGAUGCAGCCAUGCCGCGUGUAUGAAGAAGGCCUUCGGUUGGUAAAGUACGUUUACUAG
rnacentral:rRNA from 1 species